GACGAACGCUGGCGGCGUGCUUAACACAUGCAAGUCGAACGGAAAGGCCCUGCUUUUGUGGGGUGCUCGAGUGGCGAACGGGUGAGUAACACGUGAGUAACCUGCCCUUGACUUUGGGAUAACUUCAGGAAACUGGGGCUAAUACCGGAUAGGAGCUCCUGCUGCAUGGUGGGGGUUGGAAAGUUUCGGCGGUUGGGGAUGGACUCGCGGCUUAUCAGCUUGUUGGUGGGGUAGUGGCUUACCAAGGCUUUGACGGGUAGCCGGCCUGAGAGGGUGACCGGCCACAUUGGGACUGAGAUACGGCCCAGACUCCUACGGGAGGCAGCAGUGGGGAAUAUUGCACAAUGGGCGGAAGCCUGAUGCAGCAACGCCGCGUGCGGGAUGACGGCCUUCGGGUUGUAAACCGCUUUCGCCUGUGACGAAGCGUGAGUGACGGUAAUGGGUAAAGAAGCACCGGCUAACUACGUGCCAGCAGCCGCGGUGAUACGUAGGGUGCGAGCGUUGUCCGGAUUUAUUGGGCGUAAAGGGCUCGUAGGUGGUUGAUCGCGUCGGAAGUGUAAUCUUGGGGCUUAACCCUGAGCGUGCUUUCGAUACGGGUUGACUUGAGGAAGGUAGGGGAGAAUGGAAUUCUUGGUGGAGCGGUGGAAUGCGCAGAUAUCAGGAGGAACACCAGUGGCGAAGGCGGUUCUCUGGGCCUUUCCCGACGCUGAGGAGCGAAAGCGUGGGGAGCGAACAGGCUUAGAUACCCUGGUAGUCCACGCUGUAAACGGUGGGUACUAGGUGUGGGGUCCAUUCCACGGGUUCCGUGCCGUAGCUAACGCUUUAAGUACCCCGCCUGGGGAGUACGGCCGCAAGGCUAAAACUCAAAGGAAUUGACGGGGCCCCGCACAAGCGGCGGAGCAUGCGGAUUAAUUCGAUGCAACGCGUAGAACCUUACCUGGGUUUGACAUGGAUCGGGAGCGCUCAGAGAUGGGUGUGCCUCUUUUGGGGUCGGUUCACAGGUGGUGCAUGGCUGUCGUCAGCUCGUGUCGUGAGAUGUUGGGUUAAGUCCCGCAACGAGCGCAACCCUUGUUCACUGUUGCCAGCACGUUAUGGUGGGGACUCAGUGGAGACCGCCGGGGUCAACUCGGAGGAAGGUGGGGAUGACGUCAAGUCAUCAUGCCCCUUAUGUCCAGGGCUUCACGCAUGCUACAAUGGCUGGUACAGAGAGUGGCGAGCCUGUGAGGGUGAGCGAAUCUCGGAAAGCCGGUCUCAGUUCGAAUUGGGGUCUGCAACUCGACCUCAUGAAGUCGGAGUCGCUAGUAAUCGCAGAUCAGCAACGCUGCGGUGAAUACGUUCCCGGG
rnacentral:rRNA from 1 species